ensembl:lncRNA
ACCCAACUCCGAGGGCGUGGGCCUGAGCGCCAAGUGUGCAAACUCCCGCAGGCGAGAGCUGACUGCCGGGCGCAGGUGGGUUGCCUGGCUCCACGCUGCGACCCGCAGGGCGAGUGGCCGAGUUCCGCGGACGGAACCGGGAGGAUGUGAGACCUGUCUUUGAAGUCUGCUCGCGUUUUAGAUAAUUUUGGUGAUAUUCCCUGAGAGAAGGAGCCAUGCAGCAGUGCUGAGAGUCAUGGCGGAAUGGUGUUCUGAUGGUCCGUCUUCCAGCCAGGGAGUUGCCACGGCUUCACCCAAGAUGUCAGCACCACUUACCAAGCUUCCCCAAUGAACAGAGUGCAAAACAGCUGAAGAAGGAUCCUCAUUACUCAAAAGAUACGUUGACACACCUCUGGGCUUUGAGCCUGUGAGAAGGGCCCAGCUCUCUGCCACUUAAAGUAGCAACAUGGUUGAUGACAUUCUUCUUUGGCCCGCUCCCUGUGAGAGAACACAAACCACUCCAAGAUGAGCUGGAAUGCAGCCUUCAUCAUAGGACGAUGGUAAGUAGUCGAGAUAAAACACCCAGUAAAGCAAGUGGAAAGAGAAAAAGGCAGAACGAAUGUGUACCUUCUUAUGGAGCAGUGCUGUCCAUCCAUCAGCUGAAAAGGAAAGCUGGUACAUGGCUUAACGUUUUCAUUAAAAUGCAGUAGGCCAUCAGGAAGUCAGAUUUGCACCAACAACAAUGAGAUAUUUUUCUUACAGUUCCUUUUCCCUGAACAGCCUUGCUGUGGGCUUCAAAGUUCUCUCUCUGACCACAUUCAGCGAAGUCGCCUUUUUCUCUUCUCUUUGAUUGAACCCAGAGCUUUGGGAAGGGCAGUGAAGUAAGCCGAAAUGAAAUUGCCAAACUUAUGGUUCUCAAGUAAAUGAGAUUUUCUCCAAUGCUUACCAACUGUCACCAGGUCAGAUGGAUUUUUCCGCUUGAAGUCCCUUGAUGCAUUAAUUUCUCUGCGUCUUAUGGUAUCCUUCUGAAAGCAACCCCAACAGCCAUAAAAACAUAAAAAGAAAAUGCAUAGCAUAACCGGUGCACAAAAGGACAGUAAGAAAUAAAAAGUGAGGAGAGGGCA